ensembl:snRNA U6 U6 spliceosomal RNA
GUGCUUGCUUUGGCAGCACAUAUACUAAAAUUGGAAUGAUACAGAGAAGAUUAUCCAGGCUCCUGCACAAGGAUGACACGCAAAUUUGUGAAAUGUUCUAUAUUAAA